rnacentral:rRNA from 1 species
UACGGAGGGAGCUAGCGUUGUUCGGAAUUACUGGGCGUAAAGCGCACGUAGGCGGCUUUGUAAGUUAGGAGGUAGCGAAAGCCCGGGGCCUUCAACCCCGGAAUUGCCUUUAAGACUGGCAUCGCUUGAAUCCGGGAGAGGUGAGUGGAAUUCCGAGUGUAGAGGUGAAAUUCGUAGAUAUUCGGAAGAACACCAGUGGCGAAGGCGGCUCACUGGACCGGUAUUGACGCUGGAGGUGACGAAAGCGUGGGGAGCAAACAGG